GUUACCACAGGGACGACCUUUACCCUUGAGAGGCUUCAUAGAUUUUUUUUUUUUAUUUCUGUUUUUUUUCCGGGAAUCAUUGGCAGGCUCAGAUGUGAGAGAGAGAAAGGAGGAGGAGGAUGAUUAUGAAAAUAACAAGUCGAAUCGCUGUGCCUCAACCGAUCGCAAGAAGCCGAUGAAAAAUACUAAUAAAAUAGAACAAAUUUUUUUUCCUCCCCCGUGGUAGAGAUGAUACGAGAAUCCUACAUAAGCAGCCGGUAUGGAGGAAGAAAAAAAGAAGGCAUCGAUCAAUAUGCCCCUGUGGGAUAAAAAAAAAAAAAAAA